UACGUAGGGUCCGAGCGUUGUCCGGAAUUAUUGGGCGUAAAGGGCUCGUAGGCGGUUUGUCGCGUCGGGAGUGAAAACUCAGGGCUCAACCCUGAGCGUGCUUCCGAUACGGGCAGACUAGAGGUAUGCAGGGGAGAACGGAAUUCCUGGUGUAGCGGUGGAAUGCGCAGAUAUCAGGAGGAACACCGGUGGCGAAGGCGGUUCUCUGGGCAACAACUGACGCUGAGGAGCGAAAGCGUGGGGAGCAAACAGG
rnacentral:rRNA from 1 species